UCCCCGGUAGCUCAGUUCGGUAGAGCGGGCGGCUGUUAACCGCUUGGUCGUAGGUUCGAGUCCUACCCGGGGAGCCA
rnacentral:tRNA from 1 species